AUCAGGAAUUCCCUAGUAGCGGCGAGCGAAGCGGGAAGAGCUCAAAUUUAUAAUCUGGCACCUUCGGUGUCCGAGUUGUAAUCUCUAGAAAUGUUUUCCGCGUUGGACCGCACACAAGUCUGUUGGAAUACAGCGGCAUAGUGGUGAGACCCCCGUAUAUGGUGCGGACGCCCAGCGCUUUGUGAUACAUUUUCGAAGAGUCGAGUUGUUUGGGAAUGCAGCUCAAAUUGGGUGGUAAAUUCCAUCUAAAGCUAAAUAUUGGCGAGAGACCGAUAGCGAACAAGUACCGUGAGGGAAAGAUGAAAAGCACUUUGGAAAGAGAGUUAACAGUACGUGAAAUUGUUGGAAGGGAAACGCUUGAAGUCAGACUUGCUUGCCGAGCAAUCGGUUUGCAGGCCAGCAUCAGUUUUCCGGGAUGGAUAAUGGUAGAGAGAAGGUAGCAGUUUCGGCUGUGUUAUAGCUCUCUGCUGGAUACAUCUUGGGGGACUGAGGAACGCAGUGUGCCUUUUGGCGGGGGUUUCGACCUCUUCACACUUAGGAUGCUGGUGGAAUGGCUUUAAACGACCCGUCUUGAAMMACGGGACAACAA
rnacentral:rRNA from 1 species